UACGUAGGGCGCAAGCGUUGUCCGGAAUUAUUGGGCGUAAAGAGCUCGUAGGCGGCUUGUCACGUCGAUUGUGAAAGCCCGAGGCUUAACCUCGGGUCUGCAGUCGAUACGGGCUAGCUAGAGUGUGGUAGGGGAGAUCGGAAUUCCUGGUGUAGCGGUGAAAUGCGCAGAUAUCAGGAGGAACACCGGUGGCGAAGGCGGAGCUCUGGGCCAUUACUGACGCUGAGGAGCGAAAGCGUGGGGAGCGAACAGG
rnacentral:rRNA from 1 species